rnacentral:lncRNA from 1 species
CUUACUUUAGUUUCGUUGCAUGUGCUUGUUGACACAAUUUUUAUGUUAUAAACGGUGUUCGUCUUAUUUUAGCUUCUUUUUGUCAUAUUAGUAGGCGUGUUUAUAGCAAUAUACUUUCCGUGGAAUCCCGCAAUUUUUUUAUUGGUGUAAUCGAUAACCGAAUCGAUAAGCCCCAAAAAUCGAUAAAUCGAAAUCGAAAAAAUCAAAACCUUAUUGAAACGAUAACGAUAAGCAUAUGUACAAAUCGAUAAUCGAUAAGUAAUGUUCGAUAAGGGUCAAAAUUGAAUCGAUAAAUCGAAUGCACACCCCUACGCCUGAUUACCAACAUUUGAAUUAUAUUCCUUCCCUCUGAAACUUGAAUUAUUUUCCCUUUGUUUUCCAGGUGGGCGCCUGACUGCUAAACUCGACCCGCUUUCCUUUGAAACCGUUUUCCCUUGAAACUUGAACUGUCUUUCCUUGUUCUCCAAGUGGGCGCCUAAUUACAACACAACAGACAAAACAAAAGAAAUUUUUCUGCCCCAGUUUGCACUAGGAAGAUUUGUGAGUUGUUAGUAGAACUAUAAAUCACCUACGCUACUGAUGAAGGAUGCAAUGAUGAGAGUAAAAUUAAUGACUCGACUAGGAUGUGCGUCUCCUAAACGUGAUUGAACUUGCGGAAAACUAUAAACUAAGCUUGACUAAAGUAAAGACUGACCCUAUUUUCCGGGCGGGAUCCCUGGUUUCAAGAAAACUAGACAUUGAUAACUUAAAAAAAAACUAAAAAUUGACCCCUCUUUUUUUUUCAAAUUCAGACUUCCCUUUUUUUUAAAAUUAUUAUCCCAGGAGAAAAUUCAUCAGACUAGGUUUUCUAUCUUAGGGGAAAGAUUCAUCAAACUAAGAUUUUGAUCCUAGGAGAAAAUUCAUCAGACUAGGCCUCUUUUCUACUUCUUUUUUGGUAUCUUAGGAGAAAGAUUCAUCAGACUAAGAUUUUGAUCCUAGGAGAAAGUUCAUCAGACUAGGUCUCUUUUCUACUUAUUUUUUGGUAUCUUAGGAGAAAGGUUCAUCGGACUAAGAUUUUUAUCAUUGGAGAAAGUUCAUCAGACUAGGUCAUCUAUCUUAGGAGAAAGAUUCAUCAGACUAUGAUUUUGAUCCUAGGAGAAAGUUCAUCAGACUAGGUCUCUAUCUUGUUAUCUUAGGAGAAAGGUUCAUCAGACUAAGAUUUGAUCCUAGGAAAAAGUUCAUUAGACUAGGUUUUCUAUCUUAGGAGAAAUAUUCAUCAGACUAAGAUU